rnacentral:lncRNA from 1 species
AGCUAAAAAAUAUUUAAAACAACUUCUGUAUAGACACUAGAUAGGCAACCAAUAUCAGCAGUCACUGAGACGGGAAACAAAUCAAGAUGGGAUCUCACUGUAUUGCCCUAGCUAAAGUGCAGUGGUUACUUACAGAUGCAAUCAAUACACACUACAGCCUCAAAUUCCUGGGCUCAAGGGAUCUUCCUGUCUGAGCCUCCUGACUAUCAGAGACUACAGUCAUGCACCAUCAUGACUGACUCCAACUAGAUUGCUGCCCUAAAUUCUUUCUGCAUUCGAAUGAUGGAUUCAC